rnacentral:misc_RNA from 1 species
GAUGAAGAACGUAGCGAAAUGCGAUAAGUAUUGUGAAUUGCAGAAUUCAGUGAAUCAUCGAAUCUUUGAACGCACAUUGCGCCCCUUGGUAUUCCGAGGGGCAUGCCUGUUCGAGCGUCAUUAUAACCCCUCAAGCUCAGCUUGGUGUUGGGGCCUGCUGCACUGGCAGCCCUUAAAAUCAGUGGCGGCGCCAUCUGGCUCUAAGCGUAGUAAUUCUUCUCGCUAUGGAGUCCUGGUGGAUGCUUGCCAUCAACCCCCAAUUUUUCUAUGGUUGACCUCGGAUCAGGUAGGGAUACCCGCUGAACUUAAGCAUAUCAAUAAGCGGAGGA